GACGAACGCUGGCGGCGUGCUUAACACAUGCAAGUCGAACGGAAAGGCCCUGCUUUUGUGGGGUGCUCGAGUUGCGAACGGGUGAGUAACACGUGAGUAACCUGCCCUUGACUUUGGGAUAACUUCAGGAAACUGGGGCUAAUACCGGAUAGGAGCUCCUGCUGCAUGGUGAGGGUUGGAAAGUUUCGGCGGUUGGGGAUGGACUCGCGUCUUAUCAGCUUGUUGGUGGGGUAGUGGCUUACCAAGGCUUUGACGGGUAGCCUGGCUGAGAGGGGGACCGGACACAUUGGGACGGGAAUGAGGCCCAGACUCCUACGGGAGGCAGCGGUGGGGAAUGGUGCACAAUGGGCGGAAGCCUGAUGCAGCCACGCCGCGUGCGGGAUGAGGGCCUUCGGGUUGUAAUCCGCUUUCGCCUGUGACGAAGCGUGAGUGACAGUAAUGGGUAAAGAAGCACCGGCUAACUACGUG
rnacentral:rRNA from 1 species